rnacentral:misc_RNA from 1 species
GAUAAUUUCGAAAAAUGAAGAGUUUGAUGUUUCUCCUCUUGCUAUUGUCUACUCAGGCAAAAAGUAUCUUUAUUGAGGUCCUUGAUUACAAAGACAUUCUGAUUGAAGUUGCUCUUCAAAAAAUGGAAAUUACUCAGUUGAAGGAAUUGAAACUGCCUUCCCUGGAUAUUCCAAUCCCAGUGGGAGAAGAGUUUCAUCUGUGUUAUUCAGUUUACACCUUUGCAACAACAAGAUUUAAUUUAUUUUUGAUAAACAGACCAGGAAACUUUACAGCAGGGUUUGACUUGACAUUUUGUGAUGGAACCUCAUGUCAAUUUUUUCUGGUAGACAGUGAGCAAAAUUUUGUGAAUGCUGGACAGCUGGUUCCUCCGCUUUGGAUUAACAUCUGUGAACACAUACAUACAGUGACUGGAGUUCACAAUCUACAUGUCCCUCUGCUUAACUUUACCUACACAUACACCAAGAAGUACCCACAGCCAUUAACUGAAUAUUCUUUCAGCCUGGGAACCUGGGAUUUUCCAGGAAAAUUUAGCAAUCUUAAUAUUUACAGUUUAGACAAUCCUCCCAACUGCCAGAGUUCUGGAGAUAUCUACGCCUGGAAUGCUUCAGAUUGGAACAUUGAGACAAAGUUUCCAGCGCUGAUCAGCAUUAAAAAGGAGAAAAUUGUGGAUAUUUGCAAAGUAGUUACGAGCCUGGAAGCAAAGGUUCCCCGCACCUUUGAGGAUACAUUAGAUCUUCUGGAACUGUUUGGAAAAGGUAAAAUUGCGGAUAUCUAUCUAGGCAAAAUUGAAGUGCAAUUUGAAGCACUUCAAUCGUUUGAUGCUUAUAAUGGAAAUUUUUAUUUCGGCCCUUACCAGGAGAUAAAUGGAAAUAAAUCUUUCUUUCACAUUUACACAAAUGCCCUCUUGUCGGAGAAUACUAACUGGUGUCCAGGAAGCCCUGGAGAUACUGAUGCUAUUGUAAGAUAUAUUUGCUAUGAUGAAUGCUUAUUUGCCUGCUUUGAUACUGUCAAAGCAUCAUCUUUUCUACAAGUAUCAGGAAAUGCAGUAAUUACACUAAGAGGGUUGUGUGAAGAAACUUUAUUUGAUACCAUUUACAAGCCUGUAAUGAGCAUGAAUGACAUAUUUUAUGUUGGCAUCACUGGAACCUUCAUCAAAUACAGUAAAGUGGAACAAGCAUGGAUUGUGUUUAAACUAUUAAAUGAAAAUGCAUUAGCUGAGAUCAAAACCAGAAAUCUAAACUAUCUGUUUGGUGUUAAUACAAUGGAGAUAUUGAGGGAGGACAGUUGUGAGAUUGGGAUUCGUCAAGUUAGCUUUUCCACUUGUUCUGAAAAGGAGUUCACUUGUACGGAUGGUUUCUGUGUAUCCCUACUGCAACGAUGUAAUCAUAAAUCAGAUUGUCGGGAUGGAUCAGAUGAAAUAAACUGCAAUAUUUUACGUCUGAAAGCUGAUUACAAUAAGCAUCUGGCCCCAAUACAGAAUUUUUUAAUUCUCACAGAUAAUUCAAAUGAUAAUCGUUUAGUAAUAAAUGUAUCUGCUACAGUUAUUGAUAUCCUGGAUAUAAAUGAAAUGGACAGUGCAAUCAAAGUGAAAAUAAGGACUUUCUUGUCUUGGUUUGACUCUGAUUUGAACUUUCUCAAUUUACGCAGGGAAACAUCCCUAAAUUUGCUGACGGAAGAGGAAUCUCAAUUCAUCUGGAGACCUGAAUUAUAUUUUCAAGACAUAAACAUAUUUGACAGAGAGCAAAACGAAGGAGAAAAUGUUCUUGUUAAAAAUGAAGAUUAUAACUACACCACGACAGAUUUAGAAAAUGUGUCCAAUGAAAGACUUUACAGUGGAAAGACAAACAUACUUGUACAAAGUAGAACGGACAGUUUGACAUACAGCUGCAAUUUUGACAUGACAAUGUCCCCAUUUGAUAUUCAAACCUGCAGAAUAACCUUUUCACUUACGCGGAGUCAGAACUUUUCAGCAAGACUGCGACCUGAGGAGCUUACAAAUUUAGCCCCUCAUGAAGUAAAUCAGUAUAUUAUAUACAGUUCAAACAUGUAUGUUUUGGAAGACAAUCUGAUCAUUGACUUUGUCAUGGGAAGACAGCUUUCAGGAUUCCUUGUCACAACGAUGCUCCCCACUGUAGUAGCCAACACCCUUGGAUACCUCACUGUGUUCUUUGAGGAGGAGGCAUUCGAAGCCGCGCUAGGAGUCAAUCUUACCAUUGUGCUGGUUAUUACUACAAUGUAAGAUUCUUUAGGUUGGUUGAGAUAGCAAAUCAAUAUGCAAAUACAACAAGCUAUAUCAUGAUGCAAAUCUGGAUGAUAGUCAGUGUUAUAAUGC